ACCUUAAAUAUAGUAUAUACAUGUUGUUCUCAUGAUCCUUAUUGUGGAAGGUGUGAAAACAGUGGUGCUGAAUAAUAGUACAAGUAUAUUGCCCAUAAAAGUCUGAAUCAUUAAAGCAAUUUCCUGCUGUUUUUUUGAACUGCUAUGGAAAUUUUGUGGUUCUGUAGGCUUAUAGAUAUAUAAAAAUGCAUUUAGUUGGUUGAGAAAAGUGACUAUUGUCAUUUGUUAAAAAAAUGGGUGAGGCUUCAUCUGGAAUACUGUACAAUUUUGGGCCCACCAGUGCAAAAUACCCAUUGACAAACUGGAAACUUGUUGACAAACUGGAAUGAGACCAGAGGAGAGCUAUUAAGAUGUAAUUUGUUUCAGCCCUUUAUCUGUAUGGGAGACUAAGGGAUCUGGAUUUGUUUGUUUUGGAGAAAAGGAGGUGCGUCUCUAUGCCUGUUUGUAGUCAGCUACAGAGAAGUUUUUGUGAAUCAAAACAAGAUAUGAAGACGAGGAAUGCACUUAGAGAAGGUGGAAGAGCCCAAACUGUUUACACUCUGAACAUUAUGGGUUUGAAGCAGUGUUGUAUCUUUUCCCCAGCUGUAGUAAAGGCUGUUACUACCUGCCUAAAUAAAAGACAAUUUUGUGAUAA